rnacentral:rRNA from 1 species
UGGGGAAUAUUGGACAAUGGGCGCAAGCCUGAUGCAGCCAUGCCGCGUGUGUGAAGAAGGCCUUCGGGUUGUAAAGCACUUUCAGCGAGGAGGAAGGUGGUGAGCUUAAUACGCUCAUCAAUUGACGUUACUCGCAGAAGAAGCACCGGCUAACUCCGUGCCAGCAGCCGCGGUAAUACGGAGGGUGCAAGCGUUAAUCGGAAUUACUGGGCGUAAAGCGCACGCAGGCGGUUUGUUAAGUCAGAUGUGAAAUCCCCGGGCUCAACCUGGGAACUGCAUUUGAAACUGGCAAGCUAGAGUCUCGUAGAGGGGGGUAGAAUUCCAGGUGUAGCGGUGAAAUGCGUAGAGAUCUGGAGGAAUACCGGUGGCGAAGGCGGCCCCCUGGACGAAGACUGACGCUCAGGUGCGAAAGCGUGGGGCAGCAAACAGGAUUAGAUACCCUGGUAGUCCAGCGCUGUAAACGAUGUCGAUUUGGAGGUCGUGCCCUUGAGGCGUGGCUUCCGGAGCUAACGCGUUAAAUCGACCGCCUGGGGAGUACGGCCGCAAGGUUAAAACUUAAAUGAAUUGACGGGGUCAUAGCUGUUUCCUG